rnacentral:rRNA from 1 species
AAGAUUAAUAUUAAUAGUUGUGGUCGUUAAUUUUUAUUUUAAUUAAAGUAAUUUUAUUUAUAUUAGUUUUAGUAUAGUUUGUAGAAAAAAUAUGUAGAUUAAUAGUGAAUUAGUAUUGUGAGAGAAUUAUGAAAUAAUUGAAAAAUUAUUUUUUGGAAAGUAAAUUGAUAAUUGUACCUUGUGUAUCAGGGUUUAUUAAUAAGGUUGUAAAGAAUUUAUGUUUCUCGAGUUAAAAAGAGCUAAUAUAAUAUGUAAGUUAAUGUAAUAUACUUAUUUAAAAUAUUAUAUUUGUAAUGAAAUGUUAAUCGUUUUUUAAGAUAUCUAGUUUUCUAAGAAAUGAAUUUAAUUCAGUUUAGAUAGUAGUAAUUAUUUUAGUUGGAUAAAUAAUUAUUAAAUCUAGAAAAUAAUCUGGGGGAUAAGCUUUGGGUUGGCAAAUUAUAAUUUAUAAAGGAUGUAUUUAAAAUUGUAGGCUUUAAAUUAGCCAUCAAUUUAAUGAUGUUAUAAAUUAUUUUAUAAUAUAAUGAUUUUAUAAAAAAUUUAAUUUAUGGAUUAGAAUGAUUUAAUUAAUUGUAAAUUAUUUUUAAUAAUGAUAAAAUUAGUAUAAUUAAGUGUAAGUUUAUACAAAGAAUAUAAUUUAUAUUAAGGAACUAGGCAAAAUUAAUAUUCGCCUGUUUAACAAAAACAUGUCUUUUAGUGAAAAAUUUAAAGUCGGGCCUGCCCACUGACAGAAGUUGAAGGGCCGCGGUAUUUUGACCGUGCAAAGGUAGCAUAAUCAUUAGUUUUUUAAUUGAAGGCUAGAAUGAAUGGUUUGACGAGAUAUUAGCUGUCUCAGUAUAAGAAGUGGAAAUUAACUUUUGAGUUAAAAGGCUUAAAUAGGAGUGGAGGACGAGAAGACCCUAUAGAGCUUUAUAUAUUAUAUAAUUAUUUAUUGUAGGGGUGUUGUGAAUAUUUAUAGAAAUAUAUUGUGUUGGGGUGACAUAAAGAUUUAAGUAACUCUUUAUUUAAAUUACAUUGAUUUAUGAAGAAUUGAUCCAUUAUUAGUGAUUAUAAGAUGAAGUUACCUUAGGGAUAACAGCGUAAUUUUUUUUAAGAGUUCAUAUCAACAAGAAAGAUUGCGACCUCGAUGUUGGAUUAAGGAAUAUAAUUGGGUGUAGAAGUUUAAAUUAUAGGUCUGUUCGACCUUUAAAUCCUUACAUGAUCUGAGUUCAAACCGGUGUAAGCCAGGUUGGUUUCUAUCCUCAUUUUAUUAAAAUAUCUUAGUACGAAAGGACCAGAUAAUUGAAAUAAUUUUUAUUUAAAAAAUGAUUAUUAGUA